GCCCUCCUCCUCCUCAGCUGGAAAUCUCUUCUACAGCCUCCUACAGAGUAAGCCCGCUCCGCCUGCGUGACCGCAGGGCACCGGUCAGGGAGGCGCAGGAGCCGGCCUGCUUGCCUUUUAGCGCUUUGACCUCCGGCGAGCUACUUACCCCCUGAAGAUAACAGUACCUGCCUCCUGGCCCCCGGGUGGAGCCGAAACGAGACCUAAGCACCCCAACUGCUUAGAACAGUCCCAGGCCGGCGGUUACGUGCUCCUAGCAUCAGCGGCGAUUUUCAAGCCAGCACAGCGCCCCGCCCCGCGCCGCCGGCAGUAGCGCCCCAGGGUUUUACCUCAUCUUCCCCGCCCCCCUUCUUUCACUAAAAGGUCAAGUCUGUUUACCUGGCUACUCUCCUGCCCCUCCCCACCCCCGUUAAUCCUGCCGCAGUUUCUUCGCCUCUUAAUCUAGCACUCGCUUCCCCCAAACCGCUCCGAAAUCCCGGUGUGCACGUCUCUCCCCCGCAGGGCCGUCGGCUCCCGAAGGCGGGACCGCACCCGCUCCCACCCUCCUCACUGCCGGUCCCGGAGGCGGCCCGGCCGGUACCCCAGAUUAUGCCCAGCACGAGAGGAACUCGCUGCAUCCGGCUCUAGGGUUGCGGUGUCCCGGCCACAAGGGGCUGGGGGCGCGGCCUGUGGGUGGAGUCUCUCCUGUUCGGGCCCAGAAGUCUGGUUCGACUCGAUUCUGUCGCUGAGCUGGCCGCCACGGGCGGGUUACUUCACCUGAGCCUCGGUCACCGCAUCUACAAAGUGGGCGCAUUGGGAUCAGCCGGAGUCUGCGCUGCGGGGCGCCGAGCACUUGCGGGCAGAGUCUGCGGGCCGCUCUGACCGUCCGGACCGUCCAGUCGGGAGGCCUGGCCAGCGUUGGGGAAAGAGGAAUUGCGUAAAGAAAGGGAGGACGUGGCCCCCACUCAGCCCUCUGACCACUGCUGUCUGAUGAGAAAGACCCAGGCACUGAUCUUAGAAAGUUCCAAGGCAAGGGCACAGGUACCGAUGAAUGAAUCAACAAACUCAGUGAGUACCCUCCCACCUCCGCGCCUUUGUACUUGCCGCUUCCUCUGCCUGAGGUGCACUUCAAGAUAUUCACGGCCAAGACUCAACGCCUCACUCCCCCAAGGAGGUGGGAGAGAAGCCUGCAGUGACCACCGCACCUGAAACAAAGGUCCUCCGUUCUCUUCUCCCUCCCUCCAUCACCACACGCGUGCCCCCUCUCUCUCCACAGUGUGAAAUCCAAGAGGCCAGGGCCUUUGCCAGGCACGAUAGUAGGUGCUCAAUAAAUAUUCAUUGAAUAUA